CUGGUCAAGAAGAAGGAGCUGUGGAGAUUCAGCAAGUGCCUGCUGAAGAAGGACCAGAGCCAAGUGGCCAAGUACAUGCACCAGGCCCUGCCGUACCUGUGGAGCCCACAGCAGCCCCUGCGAGAGGCAGCCGUCACCUUCAUGGGGAUGGCCGGGAGGUACCUGAGGGGACAGCAGGUUGAGCUGCAGAUCGUCAUUGAUGUUAUUGAAGACAUGACUCAUGACAGCGCUGCCAUCAAAAGCCUGGCAAUUCAAACCCAGAAAAUCCUA